rnacentral:lncRNA from 1 species
AAUGGAAUCUUAAUCCUCCAAAUUCUUAUUGCCAUUUAAGAAGGCUUUGAUGCUAAUAGUAUCAAGUGGAUCAUUCCAAUUUGUUGAUCUCCUAAUGGCUUUAGCUCCUCUAACCAUAUCCUCCAUUGAUAGCGUCAAGAUAGCUAUUAAGUUUUUAGUCUCUACCUCAAUGAGAUAAAACUCAAUCUCUUUCAUAUGCAAUCCACUUACUCUUUAUUUCUUCUUCAAUUCACUCAUCUCUAUUCUUAAUUCUUUUAUGUCUUUAAUCAAAUCUUCAAGACUAUUUUUGAAAAGAAUCUUACAUGUCUCUUAGAUUGAAAUAGAUGUCACCAAAUUCGAUAGAAUAAUUGGCAUCAUAGGUGGUAGAGCUUCACACCUCAAAGUCCCUCCUCUUGCUUUCAUCUGUUAUUACUUAGUCACCAAUAUUACAACAUCUUCUAUUCUCCUCUUAUUAUAAGUUAAACCUCUUUUAGUGGAUUUGUCAGCCAAAACUACAAAGAACAUAUCUUCUAGUACUUCAUCUGUUGCUUGCAAGAAGACCUCGAUCUUUUUUACACUUAAUAAAAGUCUCUUUGAAGAUGAAAGUUGAGAGAAUUUUCUCUCAAACUUCCUAAGCAAUUCAUUGGUGGCCAUAAAUAUCCCUGGUGUUGCUCAAUUCACUCCAAAAAUGAUCUUUUGAUUACUCUAUCAAAAUCUUCAUCAUAAAAUUCAUCUCUCAAUAUCCCUUCAAAGUUACUUCAAGUCUCUAAAUUUCUUCUAUGUAAAUUCUUCACUCUCUUCCUAAUUUUAGGAAUGCAUGCUAACUAAAAACUAAAAAUAUAGCAACUCUCAAGAACUUGAUGUACCUCCAUUUAUCCUACAUAAGCUCAAAGAAACUUGGUGAUGUUUCUUCUAUCAAACCUCUUAUGGUUAUUAACUAUACUUCGUAAUGCCUU